rnacentral:rRNA from 1 species
GUACGGCGGAACACGAGAAAUUCCGUCGGAAUCCGCGGGGACCAUCCCGCAAGGCUAAAUACUCCCUAGUGACCGAUAGUGAACCAGUACCGUGAGGGAAAGGUGAAAAGCACCCCGGAAGGGGAGUGAAAUAGAUCCUGAAACCGUGUGCCUACAACAAGUCAAAGCUCGUUAAUGAGUGAUGGCGUGCCUUUUGUAGAAUGAACCGGCGAGUUACGAUUGCAUGCGAGGUUAAGUCGAAGAGACGGAGCCGCAGCGAAAGCGAGUCUGAAUAGGGCGAAUGAGUAUGUAGUCGUAGACCCGAAACCAUGUGAUCUACCCAUGUCCAGGUUGAAGGUGCGGUAAAACGCACUGGAGGACCGAACCCACGUACGUUGAAAAGUGCGGGGAUGAGGUGUGGGUAGCGGAGAAAUUCCAAACGAACUUGGAGAUAGCUGGUUCUCUCCGAAAUAGCUUUAGGGCUAGCCUCGGAAUUGAGAAUGAUGGAGGUAGAGCACU